GUAGAAAGGAAAACUGUUUGUUGUCUAGUCUAUUUCAGCCUCAUUCAGAUCAAGAUGAUGGAUCUAUUCCUUAUUAUUAUUUUUUGGGUUUUACCAUUUAACAUUAUUUCUUCAUCCAGCUGUCUCAAGGGUUUCUAAAAAUUCAGCUCUAGACUGCAGAUGAGGGCAAGGACUUCAUAGAAGUGAAAUUCUAUUACACAAAUGACUUAUCCAAAACUUUUCAGAUUUCUCAGCCCUGCAUUACUCUGUCAUCAAAAGAGUUUUUCUGUCAGCACAUGAGCUUUUCUCUAUGUGUCAGUGACAAACAUGUUGGCUCCAUUUCCACUGCAGAAGAACCACACUUCAAUGCACAGGAAACAUUGUCAUGGCAAAAUGAAAACUGAGGACUGACAAGAAAAUGGAAUAAACCCUGAAAAUUCAGGAAUAG
rnacentral:lncRNA from 1 species